GGAGGUAAGGCAAUAUAUAGGCCCUAGAAGCAGUUUAGCAUUAACACUGGAGUGAUAGAUGUGCAGAUGAUGAUGUGCAAGUAGAGAUACUGGGGGUGCAAAAGUGCAAGAGUGUAAGUAAUAAUAUGGGGAUGAGGUAGUUGGGUGGGGAUAUUUACAGAUGGGCUGUGUACAGGUACAGUGAUCGGUUAGCUGCUCUGACAGCUGAUGCUUAAAGUUAAUGAGGGAGAUCAAAGACUCCAGCUUCAGUGAUUUUUGCAGUUCGUUCCAGUCAUUGGCAGCAGAGAACUGGAAGGAAAGGCGGCCAAAGGAAGUGUUGGCUUUGGGGGUGACAAGUGAGAUGUACCUGCUGGAGCGUGUGCUACAGGUGGGUGUUGCUAUGGUGAGCAGUGAGCUGAGAUAAGGCGGGGCUUUACCUAGCAGGGUCUUGUAGAUGACCUGGAGCCAGUGGGUUUGGCGACGGAUGUGUAUUGAGGGCCAGCCAACGAGAGCAUACAGGUCGCAGUAGUGGGUGUUAUAUGGGGCUUUGGUGACAAAACGGAUGGCACUGUGAUAGACUACAUCCAAUUUGUUGAGGAGAGUGUUGGAGGCUAUUUUGUAAAUGACAUCGCCGAGGUCAAGGAUCGGUAGGAUAGUCAGUUUUACGAGGGUAUGUUUGGCAGCAUGAGUGAAGGAUGCUUUGUUGCGAAAUAGGAAGCCGAUUCUAGAUUUAAUUUUGGAUUGGAGAUACUUAAUGUGAGUCUGGAAAGAGAGUUUACAGUCUAGCCAGACACCUAGGUAUUUGUAAUUGUCCAGAUAUUCUAGGUCAGAACCGUCCAGAGUAGUGAUGCUGGACGGGCGGGCAGGUGCAGGCAGCAAUUGGCUGAUCGCUUUUAUCUGUUCUAAAAAGUGUUCAGAGAGGAGAGAAGGAGAGGAGAAAUAGAGAAAUGUGAGAUGUGAUGGGAAUAUUUUUUCGGGUCUGUGUUUGUGUUUGUGUCUGUGUUUGUGUGUGUGAGUGUUAACGCACCUGCAUGUGUGUAUGUGUGAGAGAGAGAGAGAGAGGUAGAGUCUUCGGAGCGAAACACUAAGCUGACAGAACGUAAUUUUAACCUUUGUUGUGACAGUUUCUGACAAGUCUUUUUCUAUAACACCAUCCAUCAGCUUUAGCUUUUGACAAGAGUAUUUCUACAAAAUCUCUAGGGAUGCACCUGAAAUGCCACCAUAUGAUCUAUAUAGUUCACUACCGUUGACCAGGGUAGUAGACCACUGUAGACCAGGGUAGUGGACUACUGUAGACCAGGGUAGUGGACUACUGUAGACCAGGGUAGUGGACUACAGUAGACCAGGGUAGUGGACUACUGUUGACCAGGGUAGUGAACCACUGUAGACCAGGGUAGUGGACCACUGUAGACCAGGGUAGUGGACCACUGUUGACCAGGGUAGUGGACUACUGUAGACCAGGGCAGUGGACUACUGUAGACCAGGGUAGUGGACUACUGUUGACCAGGGUAGUGGACCACUGUAGACCAGGGUAGUGGACUACUGUAGACCAGGGUAGUGGACUACUGUAGACCAGGGUAGUGGACUACUGUUGACCAGGGUAGUGGACCACUGUAGACCAGGGUAGUGGACUACUGUAGACCAGGCUAGUGGACCACUGUAGACCAGGGUAGUGGACUACUGUUGACCAGGGUAGUGGACUACUGUUGACCAGGGCAGUGGACUACUGUAGACCAGGGUAGUGGACUACUGUUGACCAGGGUAGUGGACUACUGUUGACCAAGGUAGUGGACUACUGUAGACCAGGGUAGUGGACUACUGUAGACCAGGGUAGUGGACUACUGUAGACCAGGGUAGUGGACUACUGUUGACCAGGCUAGUGGACUACUGUUGACCAGGGUAGUGGACUACUGUAGACCAGGGUAGUGGACUACUGUUGACCAGGGUAGUGGACUAC
rnacentral:lncRNA from 1 species